rnacentral:lncRNA from 1 species
GUUUCGGUUUGUGCCCUUUGAACUUAAGGACGCUUAACUAUGGCAACAGAAUACGCAUGCUCGAAAAUCCUUUCUGUGAUUGGACAAAAUGCUGUCAUGGUGGGUGAUUUGGUUGUGUUUGAAAAAACGUCUCGUUAAUUAUAUCGUGAUGGAAAGCAAGUGAAAAACUAUAAAUAUUUGAACUAGAUCUUACAAAGAUUUAUAUUUUUAUUAAAAUAAUUGUUUCUCCAAUAGCUCUUUGCAUCCGUGACAGCUGUUUAUUCGGGACAAUUAUAUAAUUUUUAAUGUAAACUUUGUUGUACGAACGUACAUGACUUUUAGAACGCACCUACGCAUGUG